rnacentral:rRNA from 1 species
AUUGAACGCUGGCGGCAGGCCUAACACAUGCAAGUCGAACGAGUGGCGGACGGGUGAGUAAUGUCUGGGAAACUGCCUGAUGGAGGGGGAUAACUACUGGAAACGGUAGCUGCAUCCGCAUCCCAUCAGAUGUGCCCAGAUGGGAAUAGCUUGUUGGUGGGGUAAAGGCUCACCAAGGCGACGAACCCUAACUGGUCUGAGAGGAUAACCAGCCACACUGGAACUGAGACACGGUCCAGACUCCUACGGGAGGCAGCAGUGGGGAAUAGUGCACAAUGGGCGCAAGCCUGAUGCAGCCAUGCCGCGUGUAUGAAGAAGGCCUUCGGGUUGUAAAGUACUUUCAGCGGGGAGGCGUUACCCGCAGAAUAAGCACCGGCUAACUCCGUGCCAGCCGCCGCGGUAAUAC